AUUGAACGCUGGCGGCAGGCCUAACACAUGCAAGUCGAACGAGUGGCGGACGGGUGAGUAAUGUCUGGGAAACUGCCCGAUGGAGGGGGAUAACUACUGGAAACGGUAGCUAAUACCGCAUACCAUCGGAUGUCCCCAGAUGGGAUUAGCUAGUAGGUGGGGUAACGGCUCACCUAGGCGACGAUCCCUAGCUGGUCUGAGAGGAGGACCAGCCACACUGGAACUGAGACACGGUCCAGACACCUACGGUAGGAAGCAGUGGGGAAUAUUGCAAAAUGGGCGCAAGACUGAUGCAGCCAGGCCGCGUGUAUGAAGAAGGCCUUCGGGUUGUAAAGUACUUUCAGCGGGGAGGCGUUACUCGCAGAAGAAGCACCGGCUAACUCCGUGCCAGCAGCCGCGGUAAUAC
rnacentral:rRNA from 1 species